AAUUUAACAAUGAAGAGUUUGAUCCUGGCUCAGGAUGAACGCUAGCGGCAGGCCUAAUACAUGCAAGUCGAGGGGUAACAGGAAGUGCUUGCACUUCGCUGACGACCGGCGCACGGGUGAGUACC
rnacentral:rRNA from 1 species